CUGAGUGGAGCUGAGCUUCUUCUCUCCAUUCCACCUGGAGACACCUGAUCUUGUUACAUUUCUGAGUUCUGCAUCUCCCCUGCCCAGCACUAUAUUCAUCUGCAUGAGAAACUCGAAGGAAGAAGCCAGAAAAGCAUAAGAAAACUGCAUAGCCCGGGCUUGAGCACCAACUAACCCAGGAUUGCACCUCAGAACACUUUUUGCCUCUCUCAUGUAACAGCUGUCUCAUCUGGAUCAGUAAAUCAAGUAUUGUUGUCCUUUAAUUCCUGAUGCCUGUGUAGCCCUGGAUCUCCUCAAAAUGGCAAAAGAUUUGAAGACAACCACCAUCGUUAAUCAUACAGAACUGCAAGUUCCCAAGUACUCAAACAAAAAAGGGUAUCCUGACUGGGUCUUCAGCUCUGAACCAUCUUCUCUCUUUGCGGAAUAGGUUUGUCCAUUCUCAUUACAGGUGCCAGAAAACCUUCAAUGGUCAGACCAGCCAACCACCCAGGGGGAAACCAUAAUGCCUCCACUGGAGUAUGUAAAAGAGAGUGACCAGCAGUCCGAUGAGCUUCAACCUCUGGCCCUGACGACGGCACUGCAGGUCAACACUUCAACCAUCAAACAUAUGCUGCAACCGCCAGCCAGUAUGCCAAAGCCACAAAAGAUGCUGGAACCUGGUAGCAGCUGUCCAUUGCUGACGACAAAAUGCUGAAUUGAGCAUACCACAAAACCUCAUUCUGGUCACUGGAAUGCUCAUCCUCUGCCACAGAGGACAUCACGAUGACCCACACGAUGGUGGAAGAAAUUAAAGAAAUGACAAGGAGAUGAAUACAAUGUUCUUCUACCCCACAAGAAACGAGUUAGGGUAGCAACCACUGAACCGACCAAGCCCAGUUCAACAUGAAGGAAUGGAAGAAAGGGAUGAAAACAUACAUCAGAACAACCUCCAAACCUACAGAAGGAACCAGCAGCCAUAGAACCAACCCUCCUCUGACAGAAGUGCAAACAAGAUAUGGAAGGGAUAUAUAAGGCCUCCAGACUGCUUUAACCUUUGAAUUCAAGACUUCAAGGGGGGAAAUGAGAUAAUGAUAAUAGUAAUGACAAUGUAAAUUUAGGAUUGCAAUAACAAUGUACAACAGAAGGUAAGCUAUAAUCACUUAAAUACAUUGGCUAAAGACUUGGAGGGAAGUGUAGUAAAGAAGUCUGACACAUAUAGAGUUAAUGUGGGACUGUGUACAGUACCGCCCACACAGUGAGGAGGGAGAGCAUAUGACCUGCAUCCAGGUUCAGUUGAGUGUUGGCCAGAGCUGUAUGUACCAGCAAGCAUGGAGACAGCUCCUAGCUUGUAUCCUUCACUGUAUAUUUGUAAGUCAUUCCACAAGUCAAUAAAGACUUAGGAUUAAUACAAUGUUAACUGUAUUCCUCUCU